rnacentral:rRNA from 1 species
GACGAACGCUGGCGGCGUGCUUAACACAUGCAAGUCGAGCGGUAAGGCCCUUUCGGGGGUACACGAGCGGCGAACGGGUGAGUAACACGUGGGUGACCUGCCCUCAGCUCUGGGAUAAGCCCGGGAAACUGGGUCUAAUACCGGAUAUGACCUUUCCUCGCAUGGGGUUUGGUGGAAAGCCUGGUCUUAAUUGAUUCGGCGGUUGGGGAUGGGCCCGCGGCCUAUCAGCUUGUUGGUGGGU